CCUACGGGGGGCUGCAGUGAGGAAUAUUGCGCAAUGGGGGAAACCCUGACGCAGCGACGCCGCGUGAGUGAUGAAGGCCUUCGGGUUGUAAAGCUCUGUCAGAGGGAAAGAAAGGGGUGUUGGAAUAAUACCCAACACCAUUGACGGUACCCUCGGAGGAAGCACCGGCUAACUCCGUGCCAGCAGCCGCGGUAAUACGGCGGGUUCAAGUGGCAUAAAGAAUCACUGGGCGUAUAGGGCAGGUAGAUGUGAAAUCCCGGAGCUUAACUUCGGAACUGCAUUUGAUACUGCUCGUCUUGAGUAUGGUAGAGGGGGAUGGAAUUCCCGGUGUAGAGGUGAAAUUCGUAGAUAUCGGGAGGAACACCAGAGGCGAAGGCGAUCCCCUGGGCCAUUACUGACGCUGAGGUGCGAAAGCGUGGGGAGCAAACAGGAUUAGAUACCCUUGUAGUC
rnacentral:rRNA from 1 species